rnacentral:rRNA from 1 species
GACGAACGCUGGCGGCGUGCUUAACACAUGCAAGUCGAACGGAAAUUCCUUGCAUGCAGGGUACACGAGUGGCGAACGGGUAAGUAACACGAAGGUGAUCUGACCUUCCCCUCGGGAUAAGCAUAGGAAACUGAGACUAGUACCGGAAAGGAGUAAUCAUUAUUGUGAUGGUUGGAAAGUUUUUCGGCUGUAUUAUGAGGUCGCGGCCUAUCGGCUUGUUGGUGGGGUAAUGGCCUACCAAGGCGGCGACGGGUAGCCGGCCUGAGAGGGUGGACGGCCACACUGGCUCCGAGAGACGGCAGAGAUACCGACGGUUGGAAGAAGGGGGGAAGAUUGAAGAAGGGGCGCAAGCCGGAUGCAGCGAGGCUGCGGGGGGUAUGACGGCCUUGUGGUUGUAAACUCCGUUCGCUAGGGACGAAGCGUUUUGUGACGGUACCUAAAUAAGAAGCCCCGGCUAACUACGUG